UGAGUAAUGUCUGGGAAACUGCCUGAUGGAGGGGGAUAACUACUGGAAACGGUAGCUAAUACCGCAUAACGUCGCAAGACCAAAGAGGGGGACCUUCGGGCCUCUUGCCAUCAGAUGUGCCCAGAUGGGAUUAGCUAGUAGGUGGGGUAACGGCUCACCUAGGCGACGAUCCCUAGCUGGGCUGAGAGGAUGACCAGCCACACUGGAACUGAGACACGGUCCAGACUCCUACGGGAGGCAGCAGUGGGGAAUAUUGCACAAUGGGCGCAAGCCUGAUGCACCCAUGCCGCGUGUAUGAAAAAGGCCUUCGGGUUGUAAAGUACUUUCAGCGGGGAGGAAGGUGUUGUGGUUAAUAACCACAGCAAUUGACGUUACCCGCAGAAAAAACACCGGCUAACUCCGUGCCAGCAGCCGCGGUAAUACGGAGGGUGCAAGCGUUAAUCGGAAUUACUGGGCGUAAAGCGCACGCAGGCGGUCUGUCAAGUCGGAUGUGAAAUCCCCGGGCUCAACCUGGGAACUGCAUUCUAAACUGGCAGGCUGGAGUCUCGUAUAGGGAGGUAGAAUUCCAGGUGUAUCGGUGAAAUGCGUAGAGAUCUGGAGGAAUACCGGUGGCGAAGGCGGCCUCCUGGACAAAGACUGACGCUCACGUGCGAAAGCGUGUGGAGCAAACAGGAUUAGAUACACUGGUAGUCCACGCUGUAAACGAUGUCUAUUUGGAGGUUGUGCCCUUGAGGCGUGU
rnacentral:rRNA from 1 species